rnacentral:tRNA from 7 species
GGUUGCGUAGCUCAGCUGGAUAGAGCAACUCACUUCUAAUGAGUAGGUCCCAGGUUCGAAUCCUGGCGCGAUCACAA